rnacentral:snRNA from 1 species
AUACUUACCUGGGCGGGGUCUAUAGGUGAUCAAUAAGGCUCAUGGCCUAGUUUAACAGCUCAAAUUGCAUUUUGUGAGCGUGUUGAUCUAUCAUCUUCUUUUUUUCGUGGGAGAGUGGUCGUCAGAAUUUAUGAAAGAGGUGGUACGCGUUCGCGCAGCCCCAAU